rnacentral:lncRNA from 1 species
UGGCUCAGAGGCAGAAUCACUGCAGUCUCUGUCCGUGUAAACCUGUGACUGUAUGCAGAUGUCAGCGGUGUGUCAGGUGUGCUGGUCCUUUUACUCACUCACUUACAGCAUGGAGACGUGGACUCUACACAUUUUAUCUUCAGUGGACUAGAAAUAUUUUAAUUUCAAAGUCAUCUGCAGGCUUCUGUUGCACAAUGUAUUCAAGUAUCCCAUCUCAAUGAAUGAGAAUAUAUUUAUUCUUAUUUGUUGAGGAGCACCUGCACUGUGCCAGGGCUCUCAAGUCUCACGCAUUCAGCGUGUGACACACGCAUUCCCACCCGUUCACACGCUCACACGCCACACAUUGUAUUUCUCACGCAUUUAAAUGAACAUGGUGAUGUCCACCAAGUUGCACCUCUUUAACUAUGGAACAGGUAGAAAUCAACUGAGUUCGUCCGAGAGUUCAGAAGCUGCGUGCCACGCGCAAGCCAAUCAAAUAAAGUAUAUAUACUGAACAGCUAAUCAAAAAUCAGCAUUGCUGUAUUCGGGUAGAUUUUGAUAUCUUGCGGUUUGACUACAGAAGAAGACAGACACUCGCCGUAAUAGAGCAGGUUUUUAUAAGGACGAGAUAGACCCGAUGAUUACAGUAAGUCAGUAACCUUCACAUGCAGAGACCUCAACACCUCAUGGCAGAUAAACUCAUAUGAUAAACUAAAGCCCUAUGCUAUUGCUAUUAACAGCUGUAUUGACGGAUUUAGCCUCUGUACAGUCAUUUCCAGCCAUUUUCCCCUCCACAAAAGCAGCAUUUCUCAUAUAUCUCAAAUAUAAGUUCUGAUACUCAUGACAGUGUAAUGCUCAUGUACCAAAGGAUUAAGUAUCUCCAUGUUUGUGAAACCUAUACUAAAGUACAAUUCAUCUAAAUGCUCCACAGUGCUGAUUUUAACAACUCUCCUUCACAACAGGUAACUUUACGACUUAAUACUGAUAUUAAUGACUUUAUUCUCCCAAAUAAUAACUUUAUUCUUUAAGAUUUAAAAACGUUUUUUUUUUCUAAUUGUGCCCCUUAUACUCCGUUGUAUUUAAGAGAUAAUUAUACUAAUAAUUAUCUUCAAUCACGAAAAAUAACCUCCACUUCGAGAGAUAUUUAUAUUCCAUUGAGAUUAAAGUAAAUUAAAGAUAAUGUUAAACUUUUAGAUAUAACCUACCAGUGUAAGUGUUUUUCUAAAGUAAACAGCAUUUUAAAUCUCCAUGGUAACCUGCAACGAUGUAAAAACUUUAAAUCAUUACAAGCCAAAGAGAGCGGUCAUUUCUGAAGAUCAAAUCUGAAGAGAACAGCACGAAAAACUUAAGCGGCUCACGACCUUACAACUUUUGACGGCUUCAUCGUAAAUAAAACCUCACCAGACGACUAAGGACUCGGACAAACACCUCUAACCAACACCUGAACAAAGAGGACAACAUCUACGACAUGGAGACCGUAAGAUUUCAUGACAAUAUUAUCAUACAAACUUGUGUUACUGUCGAGACUUUCGUGAUGGUUAAGCGAUGCAUCGACAAGGAUUAAAUGUGUGCAUGGAUAUUUACAGUGUUUAUGACUUUAAUGUGACAGGCAUUAUCAAAACUAGAAAAAAUUGCAUUUCCUUGCAGAAAAUGCGUGGAAAUGCAUUUCCAAACCACAUGCUGAGUGCUGGAAGCUGAAAAAGCAAUGCUAAACUGCUUAAAAAAAAUGGAGGAAGGUUUAAAUGUAAAAUUGGUUAAAGAGCUGGAGAAAGAAAAGUAGAAGUUAGAUGAAAGUGAAAAUUGCUGAAGUACAAAUAGUAUGAAUGUGCUUCAUAAAUUAAAAUUGCGUUCAUGCUGAAUAAGGCUAGAAAAACUGUCUGAAAUUGCAAAAAAAGUUGUACUAGUGAUAUUAGUAGUCAUGUAAGCAGUAGAAGUAGUUUUAGAAUAGAAGUAGAAGUCAAAGCAGUAGAGCUCGUGGUAGAAGUAAAAAAAAUAUUAAGAGACGCAAGAGCAGUGGAGGUAGAAGUGAAGAUACAAGUUAAAGUGAUAUCAGUAGUAAUUGUAGUGGUAGAACUGGGAUUUUGUUUGAAGAAUUAAAACAUACAUAAAUAAUGAGAAUGAUUUUGAAAUGGGAAAAAUUUUGAAUAAUUAGAAGUCCUAAAGUGUUAAACAGGUUUGAAGUAUCAGAAAGGUUUGAAUCGGUUUGAAUGAGUUUGGAUUUGUCUGACGAAUUUAAUAAUGCAUGAAUAAUGAGAAUAAUUUUAAAGUGGGGAAAAGUUUAAUAAAAAAAAUCCUGAGUACACCCCAUAAUGUCCUCAAUGAGCUGAAUUUUUGAAGCCCAGAAUGUUUUCUGUAGCUCAAAGUUUGUGGGUGGAGAUAGGUGGUGAUGCAGACACAUAUUAACGGUGUGUACAUGCAGGUCUUUUAGACACAGACACAUGCACACACAUUUUCAGACUGUGUGUGUGUGUGUCUCGUUAAUGAUUGCAUCCUAAACAGCUGUGAGAUCAAAGGCAUUAACUGACCUACUGUUUGAAUGAGAAGCUGCCUCUGGACUUCUUCACAUAGCACGAUUUCCUUAUAUCCCAGAAUGAAAAUAAGAACAUCGUACGAAUCCUCCGCCCUUCAUGAACACAAUGAAUGUGGCCACAACAGUGAGUUAAAAGUCUAGACGUUCGGAUGGUUAUCUUAAAAGUGAUGCAUUGACAUCACAUGAAAGUCCUGCCCACCAUGUCAAAGACUCUUCGUGCUUAAGAGCAGAAAAGCUCAUGUUAUUGUGAGAAAUCUCUAUAAGAGGUUUUUUUUGUCUCCUGGGCUAUUUAAAGCCGUCAGUCUGAAACUUAUUUGACAGUUUCUUUACUAACCAAUGCUUUCUUAUUUCUUCUUUAAAUCUGCACAGAAGAGUCAACCCAUUCCUGUAAAAGGAGAAGCUCUGAGAAUUGCGUGCUCGGGCUUCAACAGGAGGUAAGAAACACGUUUAACUUAUGAUGACAGUAAAAUGCAAACUCAAAUUUAUAGGGGUGUGAUAUUAAACAGUAGUUUAACAAUGUGUCUCUAAAACAAUCUUUUACCUCUUUUGCAUUAAUAUGCAGAGUGUAACAUUUGAAACAUGACAGAGACCUCCCAGCAGAUUAUAAUCUGGGACAGUUCAGAGUUAAAUCUGUGACAGUGCCAGCAAAAAUGUAAAGAUUCGCAAAUUUAGGAUUUGAUUUUGGACUUACACUGUGUUGUGUUUCAAACUCUUUUUGUCACAAGACACAUGUAUUUAUGUUAUACAUUUCAGUGGUUAUUUUAACUGAAUAAGACAAUUCAAAGGCUUCACAUAAGACAUUUACUGAUCAAUUAAUCAGUCAGACAAAGGAAAUGUGUAAAAACACUAAAUGAAAUAAAGUUUUAUCAUUGUUUGCUCUUACUGGGAGUCUCUAGUCAAAAACUAGUAAAGUCAGGUAUGAUAGAUAAGAUACUCCUUUAUUAGUCCCACAAGGGGAAUUUCCCAGUAAGGGAAACAAAGACCAUUUUAAUUUACUGUGUUUGAAAUUGAAGGAAAAACAUGUUUUGUAUGAGGCCUUUCCCGGAUAAUAUGCAUUAAAAAAGCUUUGUUUUAAAAACGCUGUGUCAACUUAAAGAGAUUCAGCACUUAGGUUUUUAAUGAAUAAGUGUGAACAAAGAGGGGGUUCAUUUAUCAAUAACAACAACACAAACACAGGGAAUAACCUUCAGGUAUUUUAAAUCACUGUGAGUGUGCUGUAUUACUUUUUCAGUUUGACUCUGAUACUUCCUCAAAGACCAUCCAGUGCGUGUUUAUUGUAUUUUAUCGUCUGAAUAUCACCAUGGUUUGAGUCUGUGUGACUGUCAUGUGUCUCUGCAGAUAUUUCUGUUUAUGGAUUUGUUUUGUUCAUUAAAAUAACCAACCUGUGUUUCUGUGUUGACCAGUGACACUGCGUCAGAGGCUUCUAACGCAGAAAACUGCAGCCCAACGAACUUUUGGCUGCACAGGCUGUUUGGUCAACCUCUGGUAUGUUUCAGAGCUGUUAAAAUAAGAUCAUUUUAUAAGUGUGACAUUUAAAAUCAGACACUACAAAUAUUUGACACGGUGGGUUUUCAUUUUUAUAUUUGUUGUUACUCCACAGAGAAAAGUCAGAAGUCUAAUCAGCAGUCAGCAGAGGUGAGUAAACUGCUCCAACAAUCAGCUGUUUAUUUGUGCAGCCACAAAAGCUUCUGAUAAAUAUUGACUAGUCACUGCAGACUCCUUUAAAAACAUCAGUACAGGUUGUUAAAACAAAUGUCACCACACGGUAAUGGUGUGUGCUUGUGUCUGCAGAGAGUUCACCUCUAAUGGUCUGGCUGGAUCCACAGCACCCCCACCUGGGGAGAAAAACAAGAAACCGAAGGAGAAGAAAUGGAGUUGUUCUUGGUUUUUUAAAUGCUGUAGUGUAAGUAAAGCAUAGGAAUACCAGUCUGGACUUCAGUGUUGUUAUAAGCAUUAGUUUUGGUUUAUCUUUCAGUUGAUUCUGUUACUGACAAAUCAAAAUUAUUUUUACUCCAUUAGAGAGAAAAGCGUGUGUCUCCUCUCUCUGAUCAUAAAGAUCAGCAAAAGCCUCCUCGGGAACUCCAGAGAAGGUAACAAACUCAUUUUGUUCACAGGAUGGAUCAAUUUUGGUGUCACCUGAUGAGUUAAAUCAUCACGUGACACAAAUCAGGUGUUAUCAACUCUUUCUUAAAGCUCCCGUGAGUAAUUUUUGGUUUGUGUUGCUUCCUAUGCUUCUUUUCAUAACCUCUCUUUCAAAUUGCGUUAAGUCUUGUUUUCAAACAAAAAAUCUCCCUGCUCAAUUUUAAAAGUCAUUGGUCAUCUUCACCUGAGAUAUUUUUGAAAAAGCCUUUUUAAAAAGCUUCAAUCUAGCUAAAUCAUCUGACACCUAUACCCCUGACAACAGUUUCUAACCUCACAAAUAACUUUGUAGAGAUGAACAAACCCUUCAAAGGUGGUCUGAUUUGCUUUUUAAGGCCACACAGAGGCAUCCCUAUCAAUAUCAGUCAGUUAUAAUCGGAUGAAAAUUCCCCACAGUAGCUUUAACAUGAAGUCACUUGUACAUGAAAAUCAAUAUAUCGGCUAAAAGGUAGAAAGGUAAAAAGUUGGUAAAAAAAACAAGGUAAAAACAACCUUUUAGUUGUUGGAGCUGUUGUGUUCAGCUGGUUGGCUGUACUGUGUAAAACUAUCUUGUGUGGAAAUGCUGUGAUGUGCUGUUGAAGAGAGGCUUCGUCUAAACUUGGGUAGAAUAGAAAAGAAAAGAAGUUGUAGAGAAGAAAAAGAUGUUAAAAGAGAGAAAAAGAAAGAAGAGAAAAAGUUAAAGAGACAAAGUGAAAAAGAGAAAAAGGCUGAGAUGGCCCAGGAAUAGAGAAGCAAAAGGCUGAGAUGGCCGAAAAAGAAAAAGUUAACUUAAUGUUUGGGAAGUCGUGAUUGGGCAUAACAAAUCGGUAAGGACAGUUUAAAGAAAAAAAAAAAGGCCUAUAUACUAUAGUAAGGAAACAUUGAGCUCAGUGAGACGAGGUGUGCUGAAGUUUGAGUGUGUGAGAGAAGCUUCUGGUGUGUGUGUGAAAGGAGUGUGUGUAUGGGUGCUGAGUGUGAGUGUAAAAGAGUCUGUGUGUAGUAAGUGGUGUGUGCACAAAGUUGGGGAAUGGUCUAGCAUAGGUAUAAGUGAUUAACGUAUGAUAAAGUGAUAAAUGAUAGCUUAUUAAAUAUAUAAUGAUAUGAUAUAAGAAUUUAACAUUUAAGGGAAGAGAUACUGUUGCCUUUGUAGUGUUAAAAACAUAUGAGCCCUGUUUUUCUUUGUACAGGGACGUUAAUAGAAUAAGUAACUGCUAUGAGCCUCUCAGGAUAAAGAGGACGUUUGUACAUCUAAUAGUAAGAAAUGAGCCCCUUAUUAGAUGAGGAGGACUUUGGAUGGUGAUAACAUCCUCAAUUAAAAUGGCAAUUAAAGAACUGUAAAGACCAGCAAGCACAUUUGUGUUCAUACAAAUACAGGAAAAAAACAGAGUAAGAGAGUGGAGUAAAAAGGAAUGAUUUGCUAACUGAUGAGUGUGGUUUUCCUCUGUGUGUGUGUGAAUAUUUAAAGUGAACGGUCACUUGCUGAUGAUUAUGUUUAGAGGGAAGUCCUAGUUAAAAAUUAGGAGAAUCCAGGGAGCUUUUCCUCCCCCUUUCUUUCUCUUCUUACAGGCCUGAGAACAGAAAGAAAGCUAAAAAAUCUAGUUUAACUAUCCUAGUUGUGUGAAAAUUUUAAAUGGUAUACCAUGGUAAAGGGGAAUGGUGUAUAAUAAAUUUUAGUAGUUAGAUAGUAGAAGAAAUCUUUAAAUAGUGGUAGUAAAUGUUUUAAAUUGUAUUGAAUGAAGUGAUUGUAAUGUACUAAACAUUUGAUUUGUUCUUUGUCCCUAACUCUGAUGCAUGAGAGAGGAGAGGAGAAUGAAAAGCAUCUGACGCUGGAGCGCCCAUAAGACAGAUAAGAAGAUAAAUGGCUGUGCUGCAACAAGAGGGGGCUUGCGGAUGAGAGGCUCACCAGGACCUGCUCCCAUUUGACAGGCCAGUAGAGUUUUAUCUACAAACUCUUCUCCUAUGCAUCUGCUGCUACUUAGUUGUACAUACACACACUUAUAGUGGGAACACAUUUAGUUGGGUGUAUACAUUUGUUAGUGCUAGACAAUAAGAGCAGUAGUUUUGUGGGUAAAAAGAAAGGCUUGGCAAUAGACUGACCAGUUGAAAGGGCUGAUUAAGUACCGGAUUAUUGUUGAAUUAAAAGAGCAUUUCCAAGAGGUCUAAAUUUUGCUGAAGCUUGUGGAUGUGGUUUGUCAUUGCUGCUUGGUAAAAUCACACAAAUUGAUCUUUUUUGGGUGUUGAUAAGUUUUAGGUCUCAGGGGAGGCUUCAUGAGAAGCACUAGGGGACAAUCGCGCCCACCCAGAGGACCUGUAAACCCUGAUAGGGGGCCAGAACCUGGAUUUUAGGGGUGCCCAGAAGACCUAAAAGGGGGGUGUCAGCUGGUAAUGUCAGGGCCAGAACAAGAGCCAGCCAUUGAUGUGAAAGUUAAUGAUAAACCAUUGACAGUUAUGGCAGAUUGCGGAGCUGCUUUCACCUGUGUUAGGCCCAAAGAUGCUAUACAUCUCCCCAUGUCUGGCCAAUUGGUACAGACAAUAGGUUUUGAGGGUGUGAAACAGCUGAUACCUCUUACAGAACCCAUUGAGCUCUGCUAUAAAAAUCAAAAGACCACAAUACCGAUACUAGUGUCAGAACAAACACCUAUUGCACUUUUGGGCAGAGAUGCUUUGUGUAGGUUGAAGUGCACAAUACGAUGCACACCAGACGGCUGUCGGGUGGAUGUACCAAGUGAUAGUUGGCAACAACUAUUUAUGAAAACAGAGACUGAAGCAUCUGCAGUGUUUUGGAUUGGGAACCUUAGCCAGGAGUUGCUAGAGCCAGCAAAGCUGUGGGAGAAAUUUAUUGUGGCCAAUAUGACUGAGGUGAAAUUACCUGAGUAUCCAUACCACUGUACACUGAAGUAUUUUAAAGAUGCUACACAGACCAACUCAGCAGACUGGUUGAAGCAGCAACCAAAACAAGUCCAGCUUAGCUCCAGUUCAAUAAUUUUGGGGCCACAAGGAGCAGCUAUGAAGAUAGAGAGUAAUGAAUAUCUUGAAAAAGAACAUGACAUCGAGGAAAGCAUUCCUCACGUGACUUUGAUGGUAGCUGAGACCUAUGAACAGAAGCAUAUAGGCUCAAUGAUGGUAGAAGCAGAGAAAGCUAUUUUUACACCAGUUAAGGAAAAUCCUGCUAUUUGGGUGAGUGAGGAUCAGCAGUUCAUAAGGAUUGUUAUCUCUGCUCACGGACAGGGUCAGCCACAAGCUGUACAGAUGACACAUGAGUCAAUUUGCAGUGCUAAACUUGACUCAGACGCUAUAAAAAAAGACAUGCUACAACACGUGCCAGAACAUCUGUGGUCUCGAUAUAGCACUGAUAUUGGACUGGUAAAAUCAGCUCAACCAGUAAAA